GACGAACCGUGCGAACGUUGUUCGGAAUCGCUGGGCAUAAAGGGCGCGUAGGCGGCUUUUCAAGUCAGGGGUGAAAUCCGGCAGCUCAACUGUCGAAGUGCCCUUGAUACUGAUGAGCUCGAGGGAGGUAGGGGUCUGUGGAACUUCCGGUGGAGCGGUGAAAUGCGUUGAUAUCGGAAGGAACGCCGGUGGCGAAAGCGACGGACUGGACCUCUUCUGACGCUGAGGCGCGAAAGCCAGGGGAGCAAACGGG
rnacentral:rRNA from 1 species